AAAAAUAGCGCCAAAGCUCUCCCUGUGCACGCUCGCCGUUUUGGCUUCCAAGGCCAAUUAGACCACAAAUUGGACUAGGCCUUCUCCCAAACAUUAUCUACACCUCAAGAUCUUUCCAUAGACACCAAGAAAACCCAAAUCCAUCGAGCGAGUUGUCUAAUUUUUGCCCGAAAAUUUUUAACCCAUUUUGACUUUUGGGCUAAAU
rnacentral:misc_RNA from 1 species